AUGAUGUUUGCAGAUGACAUUGUGAUCUGCAGUGAAAGCAGGGAGCAGCUGGAGGAACAGUUAGAAAGAUGGAGGCAUGCACUGGAAAGAAGAGGAAUGAAGAUUAGCCGAAGUAAAACAGAAUAGAUGUGCAUGAAUGAGAGGGGUGGUGGAGGAAGAAUGAGGCUACAGGGAGAAGAGAUAGCAAGGGUGGAGGACUUUAAAUACUUGGGGUCAACUGUCCAGAGCAAUGGUAAGUGUGGUCAGGAAGUGAAGAAACGGGUCCAAGCAGGUUGGAACGGGUGGAGGAAGGUGUCAGGUGUGUUAUGUGACAGAAGAGUCUCUGCUAGGAUGAAGGGCAAAGUUUAUAAAACAGUGGUGAGGCCAGCCAUGAUGUAUGGAUUAGAGACAGUGGCACUGUAAGAGACAACAGGAAGCAGAGCUGGAGGUGGCGGAAAUGAAGAUGUUGAGGUUCGCUCUUGGAGUGACCAGGUUGGAUAAAAUUAGAAAUGAGCUCAUCAGAGGGACAGCCAAGGUUCGAUGUUUUGGAGACAAAGUUAGAGAGAGCAGACUUCAAUGGUUUGGACACGUCCAGAGGAGAAAUAGUGAGUAUAUUGGGAGAAGGAUGAUGAGGAUGGAGCUGCCAGGCAAGAGAGCUAGAGGAAGACCAAAGAGAAGGUUGAUGGAUGUCGUGAGGGAAGACAUGAUGGCAGUUGGUGUUCGAGAGGAGGAUGCAGGAGAUAGGCUUACAUGGAAAAGGAUGACGCGCUGUGGCGACCCCUAACGGGACAAGCCGAAAGGAAAAGAAGAAGGAGACAAUCUUAAAUAAACCUAGGGCUGUACUAUUUACAGGGGUUACAUAAUUUUGGUAGACAUUUUCUAUGUAUCUUCAAAGUACAUUCAGGUCCAGAAGCUUUUAGUAAGCAAUAUCUGCCUUUGUAGAUUUUGUUCAACAAGGUGCUCUCCAGCUGUUGUUCAGCAUCUGUAUACAUUUAUAGAAUUAGUUAUAUUACCCUUAUACAGUAAUGAUGCAUAUCCUCUCUGAAUUUGAAAUGAAAGUUAAUUCUAUGUCCAUUGGGUUAUUUUUUACUGGAAAUAACAUUGGAAAGUGGCAAAAUACAUUCAUUUCUCUUGAAUUUGUUUGUGUUAAUCUUCAGGUUCCUAUCAGAUACCAAAGCUCUAAAUGUAAUCUUCAGUCAUUAUUUUUCUCUGCUGCAUUUUUACAUGAUUGGUGAAUGCAGAUAGUGAGAGUGGAAGUUGCCUGCCAGUUCUAUUCUGUUUUUAUGCUCGGAAUGGUAUGCCUUUGUUUUGCUGUGGUGCAUCUUCAACCAAUUUACUGUUCAGACUUUUUGAAUCCUCGUCUCUCCUCAUAGUGAAAACUCCUUUGGGAAUUUUGAGAUACAUUUCUGUAAAGCCACAUACCUCACUCAUUAUGUGUCUGUAAAAAUAGGGCGAGUGUUUGAAGGUGGAAUUGUAACUGACAACAAACUUGACUAGACAGAUAUAUGAAAUAGUUAUGUUUUUAAAAUGUUAUAAAUUGAAUAUAGACACUCUUGUACACACAUACAACCAUAUUGUACUAUAGCAUGUUGAAUAUUUACACAAUUUGCUUUAGUCUUUAAUGAAUUAAGACCAAUUGUGGGUUGCUACCCAGUCCAAGUUCAGACUGUUCAUGUACAAGUAUAGCAACAUAAAGCAUGGCAAAUAUCUCCUCUGUUUUAUCAUGUUUAACUCACCUCACGCAUCUAUAGUCUGUUCACCUUUUCAACCAAUAUCACCAUAAAUGGAUUUCCUAAGCUUCCUCCAAGGAUGGGAUAUGCUGAAGUUGCCGUGUUCCCUGACUUCAAGGGUCACGAUGAGCUGGAGACAAUCCCUGCUGACUUGGAGCCAGAGGCUGAAUGCACCCUUUACUGGUCACCACCCCAUAUAGACAGGCAACCUUUGACACUCACAUUAAAGUAAUUCAAGAAACAA